UUAAAUUGAGAGUUUGAUCCUGGCUCAGGACGAACGCUGGCGGCGUGCUUAACACAUGCAAGUCGAACGGGAUUUAGUAAACAGAAGCCUCGG
rnacentral:rRNA from 1 species